AGCUUGCUCUCUGGGUGACGAGCGGCGGACGGGUGAGUAAUGUCUGGGAAACUGCCUGAUGGAGGGGGAUAACUACUGGAAACGGUAGCUAAUACCGCAUGACCUCGCAAGAGCAAAGUGGGGGACCUUCGGGCCUCACGCCAUCGGAUGUGCCCAGAUGGGAUUAGCUAGUAGGUGAGGUAAUGGCUCACCUAGGCGACGAUCCCUAGCUGGUCUGAGAGGAUGACCAGCCACACUGGAACUGAGACACGGUCCAGACUCCUACGGGAGGCAGCAGUGGGGAAUAUUGCACAAUGGGCGCAAGCCUGAUGCAGCCAUGCCGCGUGUGUGAAGAAGGCCUUCGGGUUGUAAAGCACUUUCAGCGAGGAGGAAGGCCAGUGACUUAAUAAGUGACUGGAUUGACGUUACUCGCAGAAGAAGCACCGGCUAACUCCGUGCCAGCAGCCGCGGUAAUACGGAGGGUGCAAGCGUUAAUCGGAAUUACUGGGCGUAAAGCGCACGCAGGCGGUUUGUUAAGUCAGAUGUGAAAUCCCCGAGCUUAACUUGGGAACUGCAUUUGAAACUGGCAAGCUAGAGUCUUGUAGAGGGGGGUAGAAUUCCAGGUGUAGCGGUGAAAUGCGUAGAGAUCUGGAGGAAUACCGGUGGCGAAGGCGGCCCCCUGGACAAAGACUGACGCUCAGGUGCGAAAGCGU
rnacentral:rRNA from 3 species